rnacentral:lncRNA from 1 species
AUUAAGUUACAUUGAGUGGUAUAUCUUUACCAGUUAUGGUAUGGUAAUAGUACAGCUUAAGUUGUUAGUCUUUUAUACAGCGUUUUCUUUUUAUAUCGAUAAUAUUGAACUUUAAAAUAGUUUAAGAUGUUCCAAAGUAAACAUAAGAAAUUCUUACACUUUUGAAGUAAAAUUAAAUAUGCUGACUUUUAGUCUGAUUUAGCACACAACUUGAUUGUAUGUUUUCUAUCAUCCAUCAUAUGAAUUGAUGUGGUGUUUAUAUUAAUUAGGAAUCAACCCAACAAAGAAAGACUCCCCUACGAAAUCUAUGUAUGUUGUUCAAUGUUGAGGUCAAUAUUCUUAUACAUGUGUUGUUGUUUGUUGACUUUUUAUUAAUUGUCCCUUAUUGAUUUACUGUUUUAUUUUCCAAACUGAAUGUACAGCGCCUUAGAGUAAUUUUUAUUUUUUAUAUAGGGUGCUCUAUAAAUUUUCAUUAUUAUUAUUAUUACAAAUUCUCAGGUCAACACAGCUUUGUUUCCACUACUUUAUUGUUUUUAAUGUUGUAUAUCUUUUCUAUAAAGUAAGGAUCCACCUAUAUGUUAACAGCUAACAUGACUUUUUUCAAAAUAUUUUCAUAUAUUUCAAUAACAAUGUUUAUCAGUUCUAUAAUAUGGCUGUCAAAAGGUUUAGAGAACCAAACAUACAAAGCAUGACCAGGAUCAUAAUAUUCAAGCUUGAAGCAAACACAUUCAAAUAUGCAUAUUUAUAUUUUACACAAACAUAUCAAUAAUUCUACUUUUAUACUGUAUAACCAUUUACCUCCAUGUAUGACCAGCAGUCCAUUACUGGGACAACUUCAAGUAUUCAUUUGUACUCUAAUACUAUGCGAGACCCUAAUGGGUAGCAGUGGCGGAUCCAGAACUUUUCCUAAGGGGGGGGGGGGCGCUGACUGACCUAAGGGGGGCCCCGCUCCAGUCAUGCUUCAAUGAUUCCCUAUAUAAUCAACCAAAUUUUUCCCCCCAGGUCCCCCCUGGAUCCGCCUAUGGGUAGCCAAGCUCGCUAACACACCUUCAAGGGUAGUCAAGCUCGUCAAGAUACACUUGAGGGUAGUCAAACUCGUUAACACACCCUCAAGGGCAGCCAAGCUCGUCAACACACCAUCAAGGGUAUAGUCAAGCUCGUUAAUACACCCUCAAGGAUUAUUCAAGCUCGUUACACCUUCAAGGGUAUUCAAGCUCGUCAACACACCCUCAAUGGUAGUCAAGCUCGUCAACACACCCUCAAGGAUUAUUCAAGCUGGUUACACCUUCAAGGGUAGUCAAGCUCGUCAUCACACCCUCAAUGGUAGUCAAGCUCGUCAACACACCCUCAAGGAUUAUUCAAGCUCGUUACACCUUCAAGGGUAGUCAAGCUCGUCAACACACCCUCAAAGGUAGUCAAGUUCGUUAACACAUCGUAGUAGUUGUUAUCUGUAGGAUAUCUUGCUUUAAAAUUUUGCAAUUACUUUUCUUUGUUUUAAAUUGAAUGAUUUUAGAUUCAAUCCAUGGUUUCAAAUAUGUAAUUGUUGUAGCAGUACAGAUAUUUUUUUUAUUCUGAGAUACAACUUAAGCUCUAACUAAACUGUUGAAACUUUUGACAGUUCGAUCUCCAUAUCCUAUGAAGCGGAGCUUAGCACUUCUCCCAAUAAUAUCAGUGCAAUAUUUGUAUCAUAAAGAGAUCCUGAAAACUUCACCCGGUAAUAAACUACUUAUGUAACUCCAUGCAUUGUCAAUUGUAAAAAUUGCAAAUAAUAAAG